rnacentral:rRNA from 1 species
UACGGAGAGGGCGAGCGUUAUUCGGAAUUAUUGGGCGUAAAGGGCGCGUAGGCGGCUGUACAAGUCAAAGGUGAAAUCCCUCGGCUCAACUGAGGAACUGCCUUUGAAACUGUACGGCUUGAGGCCGGGAGGGGGUAGCGGAAUUCCCAAUGUAGCGGUGAAAUGCGUAGAUAUCUGGAGGAACACCGGUGGCGAAGGCGGCAUCCUGGACCGAGAUUGACGCUGAGGGCGCGAAAGCCAGGGGAGCAAACGGG